CAACUCGACUACAUGAAGCUGGAAUCGCUAGUAAUCGCGAAUCAGCAUGUCGCGGUGAAUACGUUCCCGGGCCCUUGUACACACCGCCCGUCACACCAUGAGAGUUGGGAAUACCCGAAGCCUGUGAGCUAACAUUUAUGAGGCAGCAGUCGAAGGUAGAAUCAAUGAUUGGGGUGAAGUCGUAACAAGGUAAC
rnacentral:rRNA from 1 species